rnacentral:rRNA from 1 species
AUUGAACGCUGGCGGCAGGCCUAACACAUGCAAGUCGAGCGGAUGAAGGGAGCUUGCUCCUGGAUUCAGCGGCGGACGGGUGAGUAAUGCCUAGGAAUCUGCCUGGUAGUGGGGGAUAACGUCCGGAAACGGGCGCUAAUACCGCAUACGUCCUGAGGGAGAAAGUGGGGGAUCUUCGGACCUCACGCUAUCAGAUGAGCCUAGGUCGGAUUAGCUAGUUGGUGGGGUAAAGGCCUACCAAGGCGACGAUCCGUAACUGGUCUGAGAGGAUGAUCAGUCACCCUGGAACUGAGACACGGUCCAGACUCCUACGGGAGGCAGCAGUGGGGAAUAUUGGACAAUGGGCGAAAGCCUGAUCCAGCCAUGCCGCGUGUGUGAAGAAGGUCUUCGGAUUGUAAAGCACUUUAAGUUAGGAGGAAGGGCAGUAAGUUAAUACCUUGCUGUUUUGACGUUACCAACAGAAUAAGCACCGGCUAACUUCGUG